rnacentral:rRNA from 1 species
GACGAACGCUGGCGGCGUGCUUAACACAUGCAAGUCGAACGAAGUGGCGAACGGGUGAGUAACGCGUAAUCAAACUGCCCUUCAGAGGGUGACAACAGUUGGAAACGACUGCUAAUACCGCAUACUUAAGGAGGGGAUUGCGGCGGAUUAGCUAGUUGGCGGGGUAACGGCCCACCAAGGCGAUGAUCAGUAGCCGGUCUUAGGGGAUGAACGGCCACAUUGGGACUGGGAAACGGGCCAGGACUCUACGGGGGGCAGCAGUGGGGGAUCUUCCGCAAUGGACGAAAGUCUGACGGAGCAACGCCGCGUGAGUGAUGACGGCCUUCGGGUUGUAAAGCUCUGUUAAUCGGGACGCGGUACCGGAAUAGAAAGCCACGGCUAACUACGUGCCAGCAGCCGCGGUAAUAC